AGCCUCGAGGUGUUCUACACGUUGGACUGCAAAUCUUGAGUAGCAGGUUAGCCCCUGCCGAGGCUU
rnacentral:tRNA from 1 species